AUUGAACGCUGGCGGCAGGCUUAACACAUGCAAGUCGAGCGGGGUGAUGGUGCUCGCACUAUCACUUAGCGGCGGACGGGUGAGUAAUGCUUAGGAAUCUGCCUAUUAGUGGGGGACAACAUCUCGAAAGGGAUGCUAAUACCGCAUACGUCCUACGGGAGAAAGCAGGGGAUCACUUGUGACCUUGCGCUAAUAGAUGAGCCUAAGUCGGAUUAGCUAGUUGGUGGGGUAAAGGCCUACCAAGGCGACGAUCUGUAGCGGGUCUGAGAGGAUGAUCCGCCACACUGGGACUGGGACACGGCCCAGACUCCUACGGGAGGCAGCAGUGGGGAAUAUUGGACAAUGGGGGGAACCCUGAUCCAGCCAUGCCGCGUGUGUGAAGAAGGCCUUAUGGUUGUAAAGCACUUUAAGCGAGGAGGAGGCUCUUUUGGUUAAUACCCAAGAUGAGUGGACGUUACUCGCAGAAUAAGCACCGGCUAACUCUGUGCCAGCCGCCGCCGUAA
rnacentral:rRNA from 1 species